CAAGUGUAAAAGAAAUCAGAUCUUAUUUUUUCCUGAUCUGUAGCCAAACAUUCAGUUAAAAGGUGAACUUUUCUUCCAGCAAAGAAAUGUUUCUUGCCAGGAAUGUGGAGAAUGUGAUUUUGAAGAAAGGAGGAAAGAUGUGAAAAGUGAUUGGUCAGCCACAUUCAUGGUGUUGAGAAAAGAAUUUGCUUUUCUGGAACAUAGCCUGUGAUAGCAGAACAACACCUGGCAAGAAACAGGUUAUGUUUGGCUGGAGAGUCAUUGGCACUAUCAAGAAAUAUUAAAGUGUAGAUUUGAGAGAGGAGGAGAAAGACCCAAGCAAAAUUGAAAACCAGGUGGGACCCAGACAGCAGCAAAGCAAUGGAAGCAUGUAUUUUGGUCAAUAUAGAGUUAAUACACAAUUUUGCCCCUCUUCUUCUGAUCAUGGGACUCAUAUUACCAGUCUUCACAUUUCCUUUAAAUUCAGGAAUCAGGAAGAAUUUCCAGAGUUUGCAGAUGGACACAUUUGCUGCUUCCAUUCUAAACAUAAGUUAGAAGAACCUUUCAACUGGAUUCCAACUUUAAUAUGUCACAAACAUAAAAAAGAAAGCUAUUUCCUGGACUUUUCUUCAUUAGAAAUUAAUAGAUUGUCAAUUGGCAUAGGGAAAAGAUAAUCAACAGAUGCCAACCCCAAGUUAACAGAAAUGCUAAAAUUAUAAGACAAAGACUUCAAAAUAGCUAUUUUAAUUUUGCCUAGUGAGGUAAAUGCAAACAUGCUCACUAUGAAUGAAAACAGGUAAUCUCAGCAGUCAUGUAAACUAUAAAAAUAAGCAAAUAUAAAUUUUAGAAUUAAAACACAAUAUCUAAAAAUAAAUUCACCUGAUAUUCUCAAUAGAAAAAAUGGUAAUGCAGAGAAAAAUGUAUGAAAAUAUGGCAAUUUGAAGAAGAGAGAAGAGAUCAAUAAAAUAAAUAAGUAUAUCCUUGGAGACCUGUGGAUGUUUUUUGAAAAGUGAAUCAUGUAAGUAAUUGAAGUCCCAGAAGAAAAGAAAAGAAGAGGAUGAGCAGAAAAAAAUUUCUGAAAAAAUAUCUGAAAGCUUAAACACUAUAAUGAAAGACACACAUUUACAAACUCAAGAAGUUUAGUAAACCAAAAACAAUAAAAUCAAAGAGAACUGUGCCAAGCGACAUCAUUUUCAACCUGCUGAAGAUCUUGACAGCAGUCAGAGAAAAAAGACACACUUAUUACACAGAGAGGAACAAUACAUUAAAUACUAGCACACUUCUCAUCAGAGAUCAUUAAGCCCAGAAGACAGUGGAAUGAGAUCUUUAAAGUGCUG
rnacentral:lncRNA from 10 species